rnacentral:lncRNA from 1 species
GGAGUUGUUGUGUUGGUUGUGGUUGGAGUAGUUGUGUUGCUUUGCGGUUGGUGCUGUUGCCUUGCUUUGCGGUUGGAGCUGCUGGUUAGACUUUGUGCCAGUUCUGGGCCUCGAUCAGCAGUAUUUGUGGCUGUAAAUGGGCUAGCAACUGGGCUGCUGCCUGCCACCUGGCUCUUCUGGAAAUCUAAGCCCCCUACCGCUUCUUGGAACCUGCUACACUGCCUUCCUCUUCUUGUCAUCUACUACUCUGCCUGCCUCUUCCUGGAAACUGCUACACUGCCUGGCUCUUGCAAUCUACUACUCUCUCUGCCUCUUUUUCGGAAUCUACUGCACUGCCUGCUUCCUUUUCGGACUAUACUGUGCUGUCUGCCUCUUUCUUGGACUAUUCUAUGCUGCCUGCCUCUCUUUCGGCAUCUACUACUCCACCUGCCUCUUCCUGCAAUCUACUACACUGCCUGCCUCCCUUUGGAAACUCCUCCUCAGCCUGCUUCUUCUUUGGAACACGCUAUGCCACCUGCGUCUGCUCUGCAAUAUCCUACGCCGUCUGUGUCUGCUUUUCAAUAUGCUAUACCGGCUGCGGCUGCUUUUCAAUAUCCUAUGCCACCUUUCUCUUCUUUGAAAUAUUCUACGUCACCUACCUCUGCUUUGUAAAAUACUACACCACCUCUCCCUUAUAUGGAAUAUGCUGUGCCACCUGCCAUUUGUAUGGAAAAUACUACGCUGCCUGCCACUUCUGUGGUAUAUCCUAUGCUGCCUGCACCUGCUUCGGAUCAUCCUGCGUCACCUGCCACUUCUACGGAAGAUCCUACAGCACCUGCCACUGCUAUGGACUGUACUAAACCGCCUGCCUCUUGUAUGGACCAUACUACGCCACCUGGGUCUUCUGUGGAAUAUACCAUGCCGCCUGCCUCCUGUGGCAAUAUACCAUGGCACCUGGAUCUUUUUAGAAUAUACAAAGCAGCCUGGCUCUCUUUGGGCCAUACCGCUCUGCCUGGCUCACUUUGGAACCUACCACGCCACCUGGCUCAUGUUGGCAUAUGCCACGCCGGCUGGCACUCCUUGGAAUGUACCACGGCACCUGGCUGUCUCUGGCAUAUACCUUGCUACCUGCCUCUCUUCGGAAUACACCACGCUGCCUGGCUUUCUCUGGAUGAGAGUGUACCGCCUGGCUCUCUUUGGACUAGAGUAUGCUGCCUGGCUCUCACUGAAACCUGA